ACUCCUACGGGAGGCAGCAGUGGGGAAUAUUGCACAAUGGGCGCAAGCCUGAUGCAGCCAUGCCGCGUGUGUGAAGAAGGCCUUCGGGUUGUAAAGCACUUUCAGUUGUGAGGAAGGUGGUGUCGUUAAUAGCGGCAUCAUUUGACGUUAGCAACAGAAGAAGCACCGGCUAACUCCGUGCCAGCAGCCGCGGUAAUACGGAGGGGUGCGAGCGUUAAUCGGAAUUACUGGGCGUAAAGCGCAUGCAGGUGGUUUGUUAAGUCAGAUGUGAAAGCCCGGGGCUCAACCUCGGAACUGCAUUUGAAACUGGCAGACUAGAGUACUGUAGAGGGGGUAGAAUUUCAGGUGUAGCGGUGAAAUGCGUAGAGAUCUGAAGGAAUACCGGUGGCGAAGGCGGCCCCCUGGACAGAUACUGACACUCAGAUGCGAAAGCGUGGGGAGCAAACAGGAUUAGAUACCCUGGUAGCACAGGG
rnacentral:rRNA from 1 species